AUUGAACGCUGGCGGCAUGCUUUACACAUGCAAGUCGAACGGCAGCGCGGGCUUCGGCCUGGCGGCGAGUGGCGAACGGGUGAGUAAUGCACCGGAACGUGCCCAGCAGUGGGGGAUAGCCCAGCGAAAGCCGGAUUAAUACCGCAUACGACCUGAGGGUGAAAGCGGGGGACCGAAAGGCCUCGCGCUAUUGGAGCGGCCGAUGUCGGAUUAGCUAGCUGGUUGGGUAAAGGCUUACCAAGGCGACGAUCCGUAGCUGGACUGAGAGGACGACCGGCCACACUGGAACUGAGACACGGCCCAGACUCCUGCGGGAGGCAGCAGUGGGGAAUGUUAGGCAAUGGGGGCAACCCUGAUCCAGCCAUGCCGCGUGCGAGAAGAAGGCCUUCGGGUUGUAAACCGCUUUUGUUCGGGAAGAAAUCCUCUGGGCUAAUACCCCGGGGGGAUGACGGUACCGGAAGAAUAAGCACCGGCUAACUACGUG
rnacentral:rRNA from 1 species